CGUAGGGUGCAAGCGUUAAUCGGAAUUACUGGGCGUAAAGCGUGCGCAGGCGGUUUUGUAAGACAGAUGUGAAAUCCCCGGGCUCAACCUGGGACCUGCAUUUGUGACUGCAAGGCUAGAGUACGGUAGAGGGGGAUGGAAUUCCGCGUGUAGCAGUGAAAUGCGUAGAUAUGCGGAGGAACACCGAUGGCGAAGGCAAUCCCCUGGACCUGUACUGACGCUCAUGCACGAAAGCGUGGGGAGCAAACAGGAUUAGAUACCCUGGUAGUCCACGCCCUAAACGAUGUCAACUGGUUGUUGGGUCUUUACUGACUCAGUAACGAAGCUAACGCGUGAAGUUGACCGCCUGGGGAGUACGGCCGCAAGGUUG
rnacentral:rRNA from 1 species